rnacentral:lncRNA from 1 species
UACUGCUCCAUUGGCAAAGUAAACUUAAGACACAAUGAGGGCUUGGAUUAUCCCUGAAAACAUGACCCUUCAGCCCUGGGUUUGCACAGGGAGCAGAAUAAGAGUCUCCAGGGCUUGGCAGAGCCCCCAAGGAAAGGGACCAACUGCUUGCUCGCCAGGUCAGACCCAAGCUUCCUCCAACUCCACGAUGCUACAGCCUGUCAGAUUGUUUUCUCUUGAACUGUGUGAAUUCUUCCUCCACAAGUAACUCCAUCUUAGAGGAUCAAGAAUUUGCCACUAACAUUUGAGGUUAAUUUUAUUUUUUCUUGUAAACUGUUACCGAUAGAAUUAAAUCUUCUGUAAUAACAGAACUGCUGAAUAAUUCAGGUUAGAAAGGAUCUCAGGAGGUCACUGGGUCCAACUUCCUGCUCAAAGC